rnacentral:misc_RNA from 1 species
GAUGAAGAACGUAGCGAAAUGCGAUAAGUAGUGUGAAUUGCAGAAUUCCGUGAAUCAUCGAAUCUUUGAACGCACAUUGCGCCUUCUGGUAUUCCGGAAGGCAUGCCUGUUCGAGAGUCAUUAACAACCGUUUCGAUCCCUUUCUUUCAGAAAUUACAAAGAGGAAAAGGGUUUGGUUAUGGUGGAGGAGGGAAAGGGAGCGUUUAGCCUGUAAAAAAAGAGGCUGUGUUCCGCCUCCCCCCCAAAAUUGUACAGGCGGUCGUGUGCGCCCACGCAUCGAGGUGUUGUAAAAGCUGCCACGGCACUUUUCACCUGUGCAGUGCGAGAUUGGUCAGCCGGUUUAAAAACCCCUCCAAACAAUCAAAGGUUGACCUCGGAUCAGGUAGGGAUACCCGCUGAACUUAAGCAUAUCAAUAAGCGGAGGA